GCUAGAGUGGUAUAGUAGUUAAGGCAUUGGACUAUGACUCUGGAGAACAGGGUUCAAAUCCCUCCUCAGCC